GCAGGUGUCGCCUAUCGGUAUGGCGCCAGCUUCCCAAGCUGGUUUCGGCGGGUCCGACUCCCGUCACCUGCUCCA
rnacentral:tRNA from 1 species